AGUGAACGCUGGCGGCGUGCCUAAUACAUGCAAGUCGAAAGGAGUGGCGCACGGGUGAGUAAUGUAUAGCUAAUCUGCCGCACACUAGAGGAAAACAGUUGGAAACGACUGAUAAUAAUCCAGAGUGUAGGAUGAGGCUAUAUAGUAUCAGCUAGUUGGUGAGGUAAUGGCUGACCAAGGCGAUGACGCAUAACUGGUCUGAGAGGAUGAUCAGUCACCCUGGAACUGAGGCACGGUCCAGGCUCCUUCUGGAGGCAGCAGUAGGGAAUAUUGCUCAAUGGGGGAGACCCUGAAGCAGCAGCGCGUCGUGGAGUAUUACACUUGUCGGAGCGUAAACUCCUUUUGUUAGGGAAGCGGUACCUAACGAAUAAGCACCGGCUAACUCCGUGCCAGCAGCCGCGGUAAUUC
rnacentral:rRNA from 1 species